rnacentral:rRNA from 2 species
GCAGUCGAGCGCACUGGCCCAACUGAUAUGACGUGCUUGCACUGAUUUGACGAUGGAUUACCAGUGAGCGGCGGACGGGUGAGUAACACGUGGGCAACCUGCCCUGGAGCGGGGGAUAACAUUUGGAAACAGAUGCUAAUACCGCAUAAUAAUCAAAACCACAUGGUUUUGAUUUCAAAGAUGGCUUCCGCUAUCACUCCAGGAUGGGCCCGCGGUGCAUUAGCUAGUUGGUAAGGGAACGGCUUACCAAGGCGAUGAUGCAUAGCCCAAUUGAGAGACUGAUCGGCCACAAUGGAACUGAAACACGGUCCAUACUCCUACCGGAGGCAGCAGUAGGGAAUCUUCCACAAUGGGCGCAAGCCUGAUGGAGCAACACCGCGUGAGUGAAGAAGGGUUUCGGCUCGUAAAACUCUGUUGUUGAAGAAGAACGUGCGUGAGAAUAACUGUUCACGCAGUGACGGUAUUCAACCAGAAAGUCACGGCUAACUACCUGCCAGCAGCCGCGGUAAUACCUAGGUGGCAAGCGUUAUCCGGAUUUAUUGGGCGUAAAGCGAGCGCAGGCGGUUACUUAAGUCUGAUGUGAAAGCCUUCCGCUUAACCGAAGAAGUGCAUCCGAAACUGGGUGACUUGAGUGCAGAAGAAGACAGUGGAACUCCAUGUGUAGCGGUGGAAUGCGUAGAUAUAUGGAAGAACACCAGUGGCGAAAGCGGCUGUCUGGUCUGCAACUGACG